GUGUCAGCAGCCGCGGUAAUUCGGAGGAUCCGAGCGUUAUCCGGAUUUACUGGGUUUAAAGGGUGCGUAGGCGGCCCAACAAGUCAGCGGUGAAAUGUGGCGGCUCAACCGUUUCGCUGCCGCUGAUACUGCUGGGCUUGGAUUCGGUCGAGGCGGGUGGAAUUCGUGGUGUAGCGGUGAAAUGCAUAGAUAUCACGAGGAACGCCGAUAGCGAAGGCAGCUCGCCGGGCCGCGAUCGACGCUGAGGCACGAAAGCGUGGGGAUCAAACAGGAUUAGAUACCCUGGUAGUCCACGCCGUAAACGAUGGAUGCUAGCCGUCGGCAGGCUUGCCUGUCGGUGGCGCAGCUAACGCAUUAAGCAUCCCGCCUGGGGAGUACGGUCGCAAGAUUAAAACUCAAAGGAAUUGGCGGGG
rnacentral:rRNA from 1 species